rnacentral:rRNA from 1 species
UACGUAGGGGGCAAGCGUUGUCCGGAUUUAUUGGGCGUAAAGAGCGUGUAGGCGGCCAGAUAGGUCCGUUGUGAAAACUCGAGGCUCAACCUCGAGACGCCGAUGGAAACCAUUUGGCUAGAGUCCGGAAGAGGAGAGUGGAAUUCCUGGUGUAGCGGUGGAAUGCGCAGAUAUCAGGAGGAACACCAAUGGCGAAGGCAGCUCUCUGGUACGUGACUGACGCUGAGACGCGAAAGCGUGGGGAGCGAACAGG